GAAGGAGGUUUGGGUCACAGUGGAGGAAGAAAAAUAUGAUUAAAAGAGUGGUGGUGGUGGUUGGCCAAAAGGAGAGAAAAAGGUGAGAAAAGAAAUGAAAAAUGGAAUAAAGUGAGAGGAAGAGGGAGUAUGGAUGGCAAUGGAAAGGUGGAAUGCAUGGUCAGCCUUGGCUAGGUUCAAUGUAUCUUGCAAAUAGGUAAGAUGUGAGGUUAUGGCAAGGGAGGGGAACAUGGAGUAAAUAGGGUAUGUACCCCCUAACUAUGGCAAGUUUAAC
rnacentral:lncRNA from 1 species